rnacentral:rRNA from 1 species
ACAGGAAGAAGCUGCUUCUUUGCUGACGAGUGGCGGACGGGUGAGUAAUGUCUGGGAAACUGCCUGAUGGAGGGGGAUAACUACUGGAAACGGUAGCUAAUACCGCAUAACGUCGCAAGACCAAAGAGGGGGACCUUCGGGCCUCUUGCCAUCGGAUGUGCCCAGAUGGGAUUAGCUAGUAGGUGGGGUAACGGCUCACCUAGGCGACGAUCCCUAGCUGGUCUGAGAGGAUGACCAGCCACACUGGAACUGAGACACGGUCCAGACUCCUACGGGAGGCAGCAGUGGGGAAUAUUGCACAAUGGGCGCAAGCCUGAUGCAGCCAUGCCGCGUGUAUGAAGAAGGCCUUCGGGUUGUAAAGUACUUUCAGCGGGGAGGAAGGGAGUAAAGUUAAUACCUUUGCUCAUUGACGUUACCCGCAGAAGAAGCACCGGCCAACUCCGUGCCAGCAGCCGC